rnacentral:rRNA from 1 species
ACUAACAGCCAUGGUUACCGCGGCUGCUGGCACGGAGUUAGCCGGUGCUUCUUCUGCGAGUAACGUCACAGAUGUAAGGUAUUAACUUACACCCUUUCCUCCUCGCUGAAAGUGCUUUACAACCCGAAGGCCUUCUUCACACACGCGGCAUGGCUGCAUCAGGGUUUCCCCCAUUGUGCAAUAUUCCCCACUGCUGCCUCCCGUAGGAGUCUGGGCCGUGUCUCAGUCCCAGUGUGGCUGAUCAUCCUCUCAGACCAGCUAGGGAUCGUCGCCUAGGUGAGCCUUUACCUCACCUACUAGCUAAUCCCACCUGGGCUUAUCCAUCAGCGCAAGGCCCGAAGGUCCCCUGCUUUCCCCCGUAGGGCGUAUGCGGUAUUAGCAGUCGUUUCCAACUGUUAUCCCCCACAAAUGGGCAAAUUCCCAGGCAUUACUCACCCGUCCGCCGCUCGUCAUCUUCAAAAGCAAGCUUUUGAAAUGUUACCGCUCGACUUGCAUGUGUUAGGCCUG